CUAACAAGGAUUCCCCUAGUAACUGCGAGUGAAGCGGGAAGAGCUCAAAUUUAAAAUCUGGCGGCCUUGCCGUCCGAGUUGUAAUUUAGAGAAGCGUUUUCCGCGUCGGACCGUGUACAAGUCUCCUGGAACGGAGCGUCAUAGAGGGUGAGAAUCCCGUCUUUGACACGGACCCCCGGUGCUCUGUGAUACGCUCUCGAAGAGUCGAGUUGUUUGGGAAUGCAGCUCAAAAUGGGUGGUGAACUCCAUCUAAAGCUAAAUAUUGGCGAGAGACCGAUAGCGAACAAGUACCGUGAGGGAAAGAUGAAAAGCACUUUGGAAAGAGAGUGAAACAGUACGUGAAAUUGCUGAAAGGGAAACGCUUGAAGUCAGUCGCGUCCGCCGGAAUUCAGCCUUCAUGGUGUACUUUCUGACGGACGGGCCAGCAUCACUUUUGAUCGCCGGAAAAGGGCAGAGGGAAUGUGGCACCUCCGGGUGUGUUAUAGCCCUCUGUCGUAUACGGUGGUUGGGAGUGAGGACCGCCUAUCUUUGUAGGAUGCUGGCGUAAUGGCUUUAAACGACCCGUCUUGAAACACGGACCAAGGAGUCUAACAUGCCCGCGAGUGUUCGGGUGGAAAACCCGUGCGCGUAAUGAAAGUGAAAGUUGGGAAGGCUGUCAUGGCCUGCACCGACGCCCGGACCUGAGAUUUAUCAAAGGUUCUGCGGUAGAGCGUGUAUGUUGGGACCCGAAAGAUGGUGAACUAUGCCUGAAUAGGGUGAAGCCAGAGGAAACUCUGGUGGAGGCUCGUAGCGAUUCUGACGUGCAAAUCGAUCGUCAAAUUUGGGUAUAGGGGCGAAAGACUAAUCGAACCAUCUAGUAGCUGGUUCCUGCCGA
rnacentral:rRNA from 1 species